rnacentral:rRNA from 1 species
AUUGAACGCUGGCGGCAUGCCUUACACAUGCAAGUCGAACGGUAACAGGUCUUCGGAUGCUGACGAGUGGCGAACGGGUGAGUAAUACAUCGGAACGUGCCCGAGAGUGGGGGAUAACGAAGCGAAAGCUUUGCUAAUACCGCAUACGAUCUCAGGAUGAAAGCAGGGGACCGCAAGGCCUUGCGCUCACGGAGCGGCCGAUGGCAGAUUAGGUAGUUGGUGGGAUAAAAGCUUACCAAGCCGACGAUCUGUAGCUGGUCGGAGAGGACGACCAGCCAAACUGGGAAUGAGACACGGCCCAGACUCCUACGGGAGGCAGCAGUGGGGAAUUUUGGACAAUGGGCGCAAGCCUGAUCCAGCCAUGCCGCGUGCAGGAUGAAGGCCUUCGGGUUGUAAACUACUUUUGUACGGAACGAAAAGACUCCUUCUAAUAAAGGGGGUCCAUGACGGUACCGUAAGAAUAAGCACCGGCUAACUACGUGCCAGCAGCCGCCGUAAUAC